CCUACGGGGGGCUGCAGUGGGGAAUAUUGGACAAUGGGGGCAACCCUGAUCCAGCCAUGCCGCGUGUGUGAAGAAGGCCCUCGGGUUGUAAAGCACUUUCAGUGAGGAAGAACGCCUGGUGGUUAAUACCCAUCAGGAAAGACAUCACUCACAGAAGAAGCACCGGCUAACUCCGUGCCAGCAGCCGCGGUAAUACGGAGGGUGCGAGCGUUAAUCGGAAUUACUGGGCGUAAAGCGCGCGUAGGUGGCUUGAUAAGCCGGUUGUGAAAGCCCCGGGCUCAACCUGGAACGGCAUCCGGAACUGUAAAGCUAGAGUGCAGGAGAGGAAGGUAGCAAAACCGGUGUAGCGGUGAACAGCGUCGAGCUCGGGAGCAGUGCCAGUAGCGAAAGCGGCCUUCAUGACUGACAGUGACACUGCGGUGCGAGCGCGUGGGGAGCAAACAGCAUUAUAUACCCGGGUAGAC
rnacentral:rRNA from 1 species